rnacentral:precursor_RNA from 1 species
CAGGAACUGCUAACGAACGUACAGCGCAGUGGUGGUUCAGUGG